rnacentral:rRNA from 1 species
UAUACGACCGUACCGCAAACCGACACUGGUGCGCGAGAUGAGUAUUCUAAGGCGCUUGAGAGAACUCAGGAGAAGGAACUCGGCAAAUUGACACCGUAACUUCGGAAGAAGGUGUGCCCUAUUAGUGUGUAGUGAACAACGAAGCAUGAAUGGGUUGCAAAAAAUCGGUGGCUGCGACUGUUUAUUAAAAACACAGCACUCUGCAAACACGAAAGUGACGUAUAGGGUGUGACGCCUGCCCGGUGCUGGAAGAUUAAAUGAUGGGGUGCAAGCUCUUGAUUGAAGUCCCAGUAAACGGCGGCCGUAACAAUAACGGUCCUAAGGUAGCGAAAUUCCUUGUCGGGUAAGUUCCGACCUGCACGAAUGGCGUAACGAUGGCCACACUGUCUCCUCCUGAGACUCAGCGAAGUUGAAAUGUUUGUGAUGAUGCAAUCUCCCCGCGGAAAGACGGAAAGACCCCAUGAACCUUUACUGUAGCUUUGUAUUGGACUUUGAACAGAUCUGUGUAGGAUAGGUGGGAGGCUUUGAAGCAGGGUCGCUAGAUCUUGUGGAGCCAACGUUGAAAUACCACCCUGGUGUGUUUGAGGUUCUAACCUAGGUCCAUUAUCUGGAUCGGGGACAGUGCAUGGUAGGCAGUUUGACUGGGGCGGUCUCCUCCCAAAGCGUAACGGAGGAGUUCGAAGGUACGCUAGUUACGGUCGGACAUCGUGACGAUAGUGCAAUGGCAUAAGCGUGCUUAACUGCGAGACUGACAAGUCGAGCAGAUGCGAAAGCAGGACAUAGUGAUCCGGUGGUUCUGUAUGGAAGGGCCAUCGCUCAACGGAUAAAAGGUACUCUGGGGAUAACAGGCUGAUACCGCCCAAGAGUUCAUAUCGACGGCGGUGUUUGGCACCUCGAUGUCGGCUCAUCUCAUCCUGGGGCUGUAGCCGGUCCCAAGGGUAUGGCUGUUCGCCAUUUAAAGAGGUACGUGAGCUGGGUUUAAAACGUCGUGAGACAGUUUGGUCCCUAUCUUCCGUGGGCGCUGCAGAUUUGAGGAAGCCUGCUCCUAGUACGAGAGGACCGGAGUGGACACACCUCUGGUGUAUCGGUUGUCACGCCAGUGGCAUUGCCGAGUAGCUAAGUGUGGAAGAUAUAACCGCUGAAAGCAUCUAAGCGGGAAACUCGUUUCAAGAUGAGAUCUGCCGGGGCCUUGAGCCCCCUAAAGAGUCGUUCAAGACCAGGACGUUGAUAGGUCAGGUGUGGAAGC